GAAUCAAGAUCCACAGGUUCCUAUCAGUAAGCGAAACACGUACAUUUGUCUAUGUCCAAUGUAGCAUCGAGGAUCAUUGCCAAAAAUAGCUACCGUCGACGUGGCAUCGGACAUUUUCAUCAUAACUAAUAAAAAAUCAAGUUACCCCUCAGCGAACCCGUGUCAAAUCACCCACACAGUGGACACAGAACGGUGGGAAGUACGGUAGAUAACCCGACCGAGCAGCUCGAACCCGACCGUAAACGGAUCAGGAAAACUGCUCGGGGGAUGAGAAAUCACCGGAUGCAUCCUCGUUCAGUCCGCUGUUGUGUAAAGUGUCAUACGGCACUUCCUAUCUAUGGGAUUGCUUCUUCAUUAGGAAUAAACUUCUAUACAAAACAAACGAGUAGGAUAUAGAGAAUCAAGAACCAAACAUCUAUGGAAUAAUCAAGCUCAGCAAAGUUUGAGAGGUUUAUGAAGAUAUUAGAGACGCUAGAUUUAUUUAUAUAGAUGGUAGGAGGCGGCAUAACUCAAAACCCU